UGAAAUGGUGAAAGUAUUGUC
ensembl:piRNA 21ur-2771 ncRNA